rnacentral:rRNA from 1 species
AGCGAACGCUGGCGGCGUGCCUAACACAUGCAAGUCGAGCGAGAAAGGGGUGGCAACACCCUGAGUAAAGCGGCGAACGGGUGAGUAACGCGUGGGUAAUCUACCUUCCAGUCUGGGAUAACUUCCCGAAAGGGAGGCUAAUACCGGAUGAUGUCCUCAUGGGGCAUCCUAAGGGGAGCAAAGGGGGCGCCCGCAAGGAGCUCUCGCUGGAGGAGGAACCUGCGUCCGAUUAGCUAGUUGGUGGGGUAAUGGCUCACCAAGGCGACGAUCGGUAGCCGGCCUGGGAGGGUGGCCGGCCACACUGGGACUGAGACACGGCCCAGACUCCUACGGGAGGCAGCAGUGGGGAAUCUUGCGCAAUGGGCGAAAGCCUGACGCAGCGACGCCGCGUGGGGGACGAAGGCCUUCGGGUUGUAAACCCCUGUCGGGCGGAACGAAUCCCCCGAGGACGAAUACUCCUCGGGGUUGACGGUACCGCCGGAGGAAGCCCCGGCUAACUACGUGCCAGCCGCCGCCGUAACAC